rnacentral:misc_RNA from 1 species
AGGAGGGUUUGGUGCCUCG